rnacentral:lncRNA from 1 species
CGCGCAUGUGCGCUGGCUUCCGAGGGGACCGGCCCUGGUUCUGGAGGCCCUCCCCACCAACGAGCAGUACGCAUGUGUAGCGCCGAAGCUUCCUGUGAAGUGUGCGUGUCUGACGGAUGACGACUCCACAAGGCGCUGUGGCCCUGGCAGCCUCAUGAGGUUGCGGCUCUGCGGGACCACACCGCCGCGGGAGUGCACGGGCCCCAGCGAGUGAAAUCUGCGGCAGCCCCCGCUGGGCCCGCUGUUCCUGCGCGCGCAGAGGAGCGUAGCCUGCCCCUAGGCCGCGUUCCCGUGAGCUCCAUGCCCACAGUGGCCGAGGCCGGCCACAAGCCCACGGUCCCUUCUGCACGGUCCCUGCCGCGCUGGGGCCACCGUGGAGGCCCGGAGGGCCCUGGGAGGAGGGAGGAGGAGCAGAGGCUUUCGGGAGAACCCAGCCCUUCACCGGCCAGGGGAGGCCGCGAUGCAUCGCGACUGGUUGUGAAGAGCCAGGGGAAGAACUUUACCGUGCAGCAUUGGCAGAGCUGCCACCAAGAAGAACACAGCACGUUGAAGGCACGGUGGCUCCUGAAGCUGCAGCCCUGAGACCUGAUUGUACCAUGGAAGGUGCCGCAGCCCAAUAGGAAGAGACGUGCUUGGUCAACUUAGUUUCUGCCCUCAAGCACCAGAGAGAAAAGGCAGAGAAACCAG